rnacentral:rRNA from 1 species
UGCGAGUGAAGCGGGAAGAGCUCAAAUUUUGAAUCUGGCGGUCUUUUGGCCGUCCGAGUUGUAAUCUAGAGAAGUGUUUUCCGCGCUGGCCCGUGUACAAGUCUCCUGGAAGGGAGCGUCACAGAGGGUGAGAAUCCCGUCUCUGACACGGACUACCAGUGCUAUGUGAUGCGCUCUCGACGAGUCGAGUUGUUUGGGAAUGCAGCUCAAAAGGGGUGGUAAAUUCCAUCUAAAGCUAAAUACAGGCGAGAGACCGAUAGCGAACAAGUACCGUGAGGGAAAGAUGAAAAGAACUUUGGAAAGAGAGUUAAACAGUACGUGAAAUUGCUGAAAGGGAAACGCUUGAUGUCAGUCGCGUCGGCUGGGGAUCAACCUUGCUUCUCGCUGGGUGUAUUUCCUGGUCGACGGGUCAGCAUCAGUUUCGGUCGUCGUACAAGGGCGAAGGGAAUGUGGCACCCUCCGGGGUGUGUUAUAGCCUUUCGUCGCAUGCGGCGGGGCGGGACUGAGGAACUCAGCACGGC